rnacentral:rRNA from 1 species
UACGGAGGAUCCAAGCGUUGUCCGGAUUUAUUGGGCGUAAAGAGCGUGUAGGCGGCCAGGCAGGUCCGUUGUGAAAACUCGAGGCUCAACCUCGAGACGUCGAUGGAAACCGUCUGGCUAGAGUCCGGAAGAGGAGAGUGGAAUUCCUGGUGUAGCGGUGAAAUGCGCAGAUAUCAGGAAGAACACCUAUGGCGAAGGCAGCUCUCUGGGACGGUACUGACGCUGAGACGCGAAAGCGUGGGGAGCGAACAGG